GAGUUGAUCAUGGCUCAGAGUGAACGCUGGCGGCAGGCCUAAUACAUGCAAGUCGAACGGCAGCACAGCAGAGCUUGCUCUGUGGGUGGCGAGUGGCGGACGGGUGAGGAAUACGUGGGAAUCUGCCCAGUCGUGGGGGAUAACGUAGGGAAACUUACGCUAAUACCGCAUGCGCCCUUCGGGGGAAAGCCGGGGACCUUCGGGCCUGGCGCGAUUGGAUGAGCCCACGUCGGAUUAGCUAGUUGGCGGGGUAAAGGCCCACCAAGGCGACGAUCCGUAGCUGGUCUGAGAGGAUGAUCAGCCACACUGGAACUGAGACACGGUCCAGACUCCUACGGGAGGCAGCAGUAGGGAAUAUUGGACAAUGGGCGCAAGCCUGAUCCAGCCAUGCCGCGUGAGUGAAGAAGGCCCUCGGGUUGUAAAGCUCUUUUGUCCGGAAAGAAAAGCGCCGGGUUAAUACCCUGGUGUCCUGACGGUACCGGAAGAAUAAGCACCGGCUAACUUCGUG
rnacentral:rRNA from 1 species